rnacentral:lncRNA from 1 species
UGUCGAUGGUAAACCAGAACAGAGUCCCUAUAAUUUCCUCAUUCACCUACAUAUAUUCAACAACUUCCUUAGGUAGCUUAAGUGUUGGUGGAACUUUUCCUCCCAUGUAUUUUUCAAUGUCCAAAAACAAAAUAUGUUUGAAAUAACUAUUACAUCUUGAUUUCUCCUCCAACCAUCAUCUCAUUUCAUGCUCAGUGGCUUCAAGCUCGAACAAAAGCCCUAAACUCCUAGCAUCACAUCGGGUUGUAUGAUCAUCCAUGAGAUUCCUUAUGGGAAUAGAUUCAUCUCAUUUCACCAAAGGUAAACCCAAUUCUAGCCUAUUUCAAUUCUAUCCUAAUAGGGAAGGGUGUCAAGUGACGUCAAACACAAGAGAGAGGUUAAUUUUGAUUUAAAAAAAAAAUUAAAAUUUUAAAGACAAUUUAAUUUUACUUGAUUGAUUUUAAGAAAAGAGAUGAAGCAUAUAUUAAGAGUGAAAGAGUAAAUAACGAAAAUAUAAAGAGAUAAGGGAAAAGAAAUAACACACUAGAAAUUAUACUAGUUCGAUCUUAAAGCAUGAAGCAUACUCUAGUUCUCAAGAAUUUCCCCUUGAUAUAUCCACUAACAAUAGUGUUUUUAUCAUAAGAUUACUCACAACUUCUUAUAUCAGAGUUUAUAAAAGAAGAACACUCUCUUAAUUUACAACUAUAAUUCAAACACAUUAAUCAACAUUGCACAAGGACAACCUCUUACUAAGUGUUUCUUUCAAUAAAUACUAAAAUAAUUUUAAGUUGGGUAGAAGAUAUGUUCAUCCUUCUUAGCUUGAUUUUGAUAAAAAUAAAUGACUAUUUUAAGAAGAAAGAUCAAAGAAAAAAUAUUGAAUAAAGUAUCAAGUUUGUGUCAAGAUUUGGAUUUCAAUGAUAUUGAAUCAUAGACAAAGGAAAAAUGUCCAGAUCAAUGAUUAUAGACCUUAAAUGCUUAAAGGAAAAGUUUAAAUAUCAUUUUAUGCAUGUUUUCAAAAUGACAAAAAAAUGGUUUUUUUUUACUUAGAAAUUUUUCUAAGUAUAAGACAGGUUAAUCAAUUAAACUAUGUGCUAAUCAAUUAACUCUAUCUUGUCAAUCGAUUAACCAUGUCUUUGUCUCAAGUGAAAUUGCAUUUUGUUUCAUAAGGAUAAUCAAUUAACCGUUCCAAUUUUUCACUAAGGAUAAUCGAUUACCCUCCCUUAUCAAUCGAUUAACCAAUUGGAUUUUCACAUAAUUUAUGAACAUUAUGGAAUUAAGGAAACAAUUAACAUACGUAGCAAAGUGAGAAUUUUGGAACCAAUGCAACACCUCUUAAUCUCUAAUGAUCAUUGAACCCUUUCAAAACAUUGUAAAUGAUCAUGAAUGUUUUACAACCAUUACUUUUGAUUUUCGAUUUUCUAAGAGGCUCUUGGUUCAUUAAAAAUUGAAGGAUUUUUCAAAUUCAAAAUAACCUUCUUCUUGAAGAAUUUUGUCUGUUUUAAGUAUCAAUGAAUAUUUUUGAUAGAGAAACAUUUUCUGCAAAAUUUUCAUAUCAUAUGUGAAAAUAUUUUCAGCAUUUAAAUGUAUAUAUUGUAUUCAUUUGUUCAUUUAAGGAGAAAAUUGAAAUUGUCAAUAUAUAAAAAAAGUAGCAAAGUUGUUAAAUUAUCAAAGUCCAUUACAAAGUCUGCUUAUUACAAAUUAUCCGUCUAUCUUUAAUUUCUCACCAAGUGUGUGGUAAUUCUUUAUCUGUAAGAAAAUAUUGUACUUAUUACAUAUUGUUGAAAAUAGGAAAUGUUGUUUUCUAUUUUUUUUUGGAAAAGUUCUUUGAAUCAAAUUGAUUCAAAGUCUACCAUAGUUGUUGGUGUUUGGAAAUCAAGGAAGUAGUGUGCUUCUUUGUUAUUAUUAUUAGAAGAUUGUAAGAGACGACUCAGUGGCAGGCUUGUACAAAGAUCUGCCAAUAGUGAAAAUCUCUCAUGGACUGUGAGGGGACUGAACUACUCUUAUUUCGAAAAAGAAACCAAGAUAUAUAUCUAUGUUUCUUUUUUACUACACUUUAUUUUUUGUCAACUUUAUCACAUCUCUCUUAACUAGAAAAUAAACCAGACACGUUGACUUCAUUUCAAAACAAUAAAAAUAAAUAAACCAGUAAAGUGCCACAAAAUCCCGAAAUUGCCAUUAACUCUAAAAUAGCAUGAUAAUUUUUCAACUAAAAACAAGUUCACUUCAUAUAGUGAAAAAUUUGGCCAAGAAAGGAAAAUAUUGUGGGUCAGAUCCGCAUCAUAAUCUUUUAGACGGCGUCCUAAUCGAAUAUGACCUAAAAACUUAUGAAAGACUUUGUUAGAUCUGAGCCCUAAUCAAUAACAAAGCUUUCUUAAUAGAUUAUUAUAUGAGUUUUCCCCAUAAUCGAUUAGACCAGUGUCAUAAUCAACUAGAUUGAAAAUGUUUGGUUCACAACUUAUUAACCAAGACUCAUAACCGAAUAAGCUUUGUUUUAAAAAAUGUUUAACCCAUUUUUAGAGUUUUAUUAAAAGUGUUUUAAAAAAAAGGUGUUUAAAAAGUAAUUUGAGUGUGUAUGUGCAUUUAUCUUAGUACUUUGAGAGCUACACUUAAUAUUACAGAUGUUCCUAUAAAAGAUAAGUAACCAUACAUAGUAAGGAUCAUUGGUGAACUUUUUGUAGUUAGCUUUGUUCUUUGUGAGGUUUUUUAGCUUUUGAUUAUCUUUGUGCAUAUCAUCAAAAAUAUUAUUACUUUUUGAUUUGAUUCACAUUUAUUUAUUUUCUUAAUCAUGUUUACGAUUUUCCUUUAAUUCCUUUUAUCAUCAGCAAAAUUAAGUGUGCAUGUACAACACAUAAAAUCAUAUUCUCCCACUUUUUGAUGAUGACAACACAUCUCUCAGGGAGGUGGUUAAAAUAAGGAAGUUAAGAUGAAAAAAGAUUGGAAUGAUUGACUCCCCCAUAACAAAUAAAGAGAAUAUAUUUCCUUUGAGGUUAUACUUUUUACCCAUUUGGCAUUAUCUAAAAUUGGAAAAAAUAGAUAAUAAAAUAAACAUCACAUAAACCACAAAUAAAAGGAUAAAGGUGAAAUAAGAUGGAAACGGAAACUGCAUAAAUAAAGACAAAGGUGUUUUAAGAUCCAAAUAUCAAACCCAAUAACGCAAAGUCGAAUGAAAUUGUCCAUCAUAUAUAGUAACACACUUUAGACUUAAGGUACAUUUUCUCAUCUCAGAGUUACACUUAAAUCAUUUUGGGCUCUAUAACUGACUUGGGUGUUAGAGUGCUAACCUUGUAGGUUCCCCCUAUAUUUUCG